rnacentral:tRNA from 1 species
CAAAAUGUAGCUUAAUAUUAAAGCAUCCGGCCUACACCCGGAAGACUUCACAUCAAUGUGACCAUUUUGA